rnacentral:rRNA from 1 species
AAAAUAAAAAUUAAUAAAAUAAAUUUAAUAAAAGUAAUUUUAAUAUUAAAAUAAAUAAUGGGGGUUAAAGUAUUUUAAUAGAAAAAAUUAGAAGUUUUAUAGUGAAUUAGUAUAGUAGUAGAAAUUUGAAAUAAAUGAAAAAUAAUUUUUAAAAAAGUAAAUUUAAAUUAUUGUAUCUUGUGUAUCAGAGUUUAUUAAAUAAUAUUUUUAUAUAAAAAUAUCUCGAAUUUAAAAGAGUUAAUUAAUUAAUAAAGUUAAUGUAAAAUAAUUAUUUUAAAUAAUUAAUUUGAAAUGAAAUGUUAAUCGUUUUUAAAUAUAUCUAGUUAUUUUAGAAAAAAAUUUAAUUUUAAAUUUAUUUAUUAAUUAUAUUAAUUAAAUUAAUAUAAUAAAAAAUAAAUUUUAUAAUUUAAGGGAUAAGCUUUAAAUUAAAUUGUUAUAAUAAAUAAUUUAAAUAAAUAAAAUUCUUAAAAUUUAUAUUGUUUAAAAAUUAAAGUUUAUUAUAAAAAAUUUUAUUAAAAAUAAAAUCUAAAUUAAUUUAAUUUUUUAUAAAAAUAUAAUUUUUAAUAUGGAAAAAUUAGUAAUAAUGAUAAAAUUAGUAUAAUAAAAUAAAAAAAAAUAAAUUUAUUUAAAAUUAAAUAAAAGGAAUUCGGCAAAAUUUAUAUUCACCUGUUUAACAAAACCAUGUCUUUUUGAAAAAUAAUUUAAAGUCUAAUCUGCCCACUGAUUUUAUAUUAAAGGGCUGCAGUAUAUUGACUGUACAAAGGUAGCAUAAUCAUUAGUCUUUUAAUUGAAGACUUGUAUGAAGGAUUUGAUGAAAUAUGAACUGUCUCUUAUUUAUAAAUAGAAUUUAAUUUUUUAGUUAAAAAGCUAAAAUAUGAUUAAAAGACGAGAAGACCCUAUAGAGUUUUAUAAUUAUUUAUUUAAAAUAUUUAUAUAAAAUUUUAAUAUUUUAUUUAAAUAAUUAUUAUAUUGGGGUGAUAAAAAAAUUAAUUAAACUUUUUUUAAAAUUUAACAAAAAUAAAUGAAUAAAUGAUCCAUAAAUAAUGAUUAAAAGAAAAAAUUACCUUAGGGAUAACAGCGUAGUAUUUUUUUUUAGUACAAAUAAAAAAAAAAGUUUGCGACCUCGAUGUUGGAUUAAGAUAAAAUUUAAAUGCAAAAGUUUAAAAUUUUGAUCUGUUCGAUCAUUAAAAUCUUACAUGAUCUGAGUUCAAACCGGUGUAAGCCAGGUUGGUUUCUAUCUUUAAUUAAAUAUGAUAUUUUA